GUCUCCCUCUGCCCACCCACCUGCACCUGACAGCUGUGGGCUGUGCUCUCAGGGAGGCACCGUCAGAUGCUACCAGACUACAGAGGAGAGCACCCUCAAUCCUGACUGAAGGUUUGGGAAAAGGCUGCUCAGAAGAGGUGAUACUUGAUAUGGGCCCUGGAGGAGGAGAAGCAGUUUGAGAAGACAGCAGUGAGAGAUGGCAUCCGGGCAGGCGAGAAAUGCAAAGGGAAGAGAGGUCAUCCAGGACAAAAGUACAGAAUGAAAAGAAAAAGCAACUAAGCACGAAAUCUUGGAGAAUGUCCUCAUUGAAGGGUCCUGAGCACCAAGGGUACAGUCAGAAAUGAUGAAUCCAGAAAUGAUGCCCUCCAGAACUUCUGGUGAGGAAGGCACUCAGGAAAAUGCAGCACCCUAUGGAGGCCCAGAAAGGAGGGCAUUCAGGAAGAACACAGUCUGAUGGUGUCAAGUGCAGCGGAGGCUAAGAGCCUCAGUGCCUCCUUCAGAGAUGCGGUGGAUAUUAGCUUCUGUUGUAUCCUUCAUACAGAACCUGGUGCUGAGAGACAGCUUCUUCUUUUUUUUUUUUUCUUUAAACUUUUCUUAAGACUAGUCAAGUACAGUAUCAAGAAGACGGGAAAGAGUAGAACAAGGAAUUGGAUCCGUAACUGACUGUGAACAAUCAAUUGAGGUAACUCAUUACCUUUGAACCAACCUGGGAGGCAGCCUUGUGACUCACCUCAAUCCUCAAUCUUCUCAGCUAGUUCACUUUGGCCUGGCUCAGGGGCUGACCUAGAAUGAUCCUGUCCAGAAGGACCCUGGAUGUUCUUAGAGACACAGACUGCUAGGGCUGGCAGGGACUUUUCAUCCAAUUCCUCUGUGACAGAGGAGGAAGUGGAGGUGCAGAAGGAGAGGUGAGCUGCCUGUGGUCCUUCAGCUUACUAAUGGCAGUGUUAGGACUGGACCUGAGGGCUCUUCCCUCCAGUCCGGCGCUAUUUAUUCCAUGACAGUGCCUCUCAAACUGUGUUCUCACAAGCAGCUAGUGCUCAGGCAGCUGGACUGAGGCCCUGCCUGCCAAAUCAAAUAUUGGAGGUCUUUCUCCAAUGUGCAGAAAAAAAAAGUAAUUAAUGGGUUAAGUUUCCUUAGGGUUAAAUUAUUUUUCCAUUAAUGCUUCUUAAACCAUUGUCACCUGCUACCAAUUGUCUACUAGCCAAUGCAUGCAGGCAACAAAACAAAAGGAUAAGCCACAAGUAAAUAAGAACAAGAACAACCAAAGCCUUGGAAACACACCAUCAUUCUUAAGUUAAAGGCUUAAAAAAAAAAUAGAGGAAGACUGCUAUGACUGUGGACUUUCUAUUGCAUUCACAUAAUAAAAUCAUGCGACAUUGUUUUGAAUUCAAA
rnacentral:lncRNA from 1 species